rnacentral:lncRNA from 1 species
UAAGUGAGUGUGACAACACAGUAUAGAGUUGUUGGUGGCAUUAAAUCAGAUGGUGUAUAACAGUAUUUUGUAAAAACUGUAAAGUAGGUUGUGACUGUAGGGGUUUGUAGUUCUCAUGGGCAUUACUGCUCUUUUUCCCACAGUUAAAAGAAUUUCAACAAAGAAACAGCCCUGCUGCUCCAUCUCGAGUGAGAAGAAGAAAGAAAAGAAACAACAGUAGCCGUGAGACAUCCGCUUCUGAUGGUUGCCAGUCACCAUGCCAUCCCUCGAGCCGCCGUGAAGCAGUCCUUGAGCAGCAGGUACAGCAGUUUCUACAGGAGCGGGAACUGCUAAAAGCGCAGGUGGCAGAGGUGAGACUAUGCAGAGGGAGGGAUGUGGAAGGAAGAUGAGCCCAGGUGGCCAGGAGCAGGUGAGGACAGUGACAGCCCUUCCUAACUUCUGGGUCCAUUCCUGCAGGUGACGGAGUGUCUUAAGAAAGCUCAGCUAGAAAGAGACGCUUACGCUCAACAACUCAAAACACAGAAGGCGCAGUGGCAGCAGAAAAUCCUCACAAUGGCAGGAGAAGUGAGAGCUGACCCUUCAGCCCCCACCUUAGAUAGGUCACUGGAUCUUUCUGGGCAUCUGUAAAAUGAGACUAGUCCAGCCAGGGGUGGUCACAGGACUGGGCUGUGUGGAGCUGGGGGCGGAGAGGGAGAUGGUAGCCUGUCCAGCCACCAGCCCUUCUCCAGGGCCCUUUCCCGCUGUUCUUUGGGCAGAUUGAAAUAUUCAAAAUGGAGAAAAGUCAAGACGCAAUGAAAAUCGAGAAGCUGAAGGGGAGCCUUGCCCACCUACAAAAUCUUCUGGGUAAGAUGGGGCUGGCGUGACCCGGGAGCAGGACUGGCAUCAGAGGGCUGUGGGGGUGGCUUAGAGUGCCCCAGGGAGGUGGGUGGCUGGAAGGGCUUUGAGGCAGAGGGAGAGAGGUCUGUGCUGGGAGAUGGCAUGUCUUGUCAUCUCCAUGGGCCUCAGUGUCCCCAUCAGAAAGAGGGAGGGUGCCCGUCGUCAGCCACUCACAGUGCUCUCUAUCUGAAAGUGGCUUGGAAGAC